rnacentral:lncRNA from 1 species
AGGGAUGUGCCUGCAAACUUCUUUAGUCAUCAAUCCACAAUAUAUGCAUUUCUAUUGUAAAAUAAUUCCUUGCAGGGUACACUUAUGUAGCUAACAUGCAUUUCUACAUCACAUUAUUAUUAUCAAUGAUUGCUAACUUCUCUAACUUCCUCUCCAUUUCUAGAACAUGACACAUAUGCAGGAGCAGAGAAGAAAACCCAGAUGGUUACAGUGGCGAAGAAGAUGACAAUGACUCAGAGAAGCACCUACAGUGACAGUCGUAUGGCCGAGUUUGAGCAGCACCAAGACCAUACGCCCCUCAAACAUUAAUGAAAAACUUGGUCAUUAUUUUUGUUCUGGCCAACAGGUCAGCCCCACUUGCCCCCUCAAACUUUAAUGAAAAACUUGGUCAUUAUUCUUGCUCCGGCAAACAGGUUAGCCCGACUUACCUUCCCUGCCUCAUCACCAAGGUAGAUAAUAACAUAGUAGCAUACAAAAACCCGGACAUCAGCAAAGCAGGUUGCACACUUUGUAAACUGAUGACAUCAUGAUAGUGAAAGGUUAUUUUACAGCUAACAUGAAGUCAAUCACCGUAUGCCUUUAAAAAAUGCUUUUCAAUAUACCCAGUUAUUACGUGCUUUGUCUGCAGUACCAAAUUAUCAGUCCAACUAAAAGAACUAACUUAAAAUAUAUGGAUGGCAUAUCAGAACAAGUACUUGCUUGAUGAGAUACAUAAACACAAUAUUCAAAUAACCCGUGAGAGAAUUAUCUAACCAUAAACACAAUAUUCAUCAAAUAAUUAACUAUGCGGCAAUAAUCCUAUUACAUUACUGCCCACCAAACUCAGAGAAGUAGUUUAGUUGCAUUACUUCUUGCCAUGGAUUGAUAGCAGUAAGGACAACUGAUAAUCCAAAAUAAUGAAGUUGGAAAAAACAUAAGUUGGGGCAUACUGAUUUACUGAUCUUAUGGGUGACUGUAUCAGGUCAAAUAAUGGUGGGCAAGCACUGAGACGUCUGUCUUGUCCGUUGGGUGAACAAUUGCAAUGGAGAACUAAUGUGGGAGGUGUCCUAGAGCAGCAUCAACACUGUACUGCAAAUAAAUUAACCCAUCAGAAGUUCUAAAAUGACCCAAAGAAUCAGAGAAUGAGGAAAUGGAGAGGGCUACAUACAUAUGUCAAGUUGAUACCUGAAACCAGUCAUUUGGAUCACAAAUACUACUCAGUCAGCUUGAACCUAAAAUAAGAACCAAGAUGAGGGAAGCUGCCGACCUUGAAAUAGAAACAAUAUGAAGAUCAUGUGUCUCAAAAAUCUUGUUUGCACAUGGUAGUGAACUACUUAUUUACAACAAUUUUUCUUUUUUGGUAUAUAUGAGAUAUUGGGUAUCAAUUGCUAGCUAUCUACACAACACUAACAUAUGUGAGCCGCUAGAUAGAAUCAAGUGCAAACAAGAUCUGUAGGUAAUCACAUCUAUAAUAAUUUGGUGGAAAAAAUCAAGCCAUCGUGAUCCCAUUGACAUGUUAAAACUUGCAUCAAAAUUCAAACAUAGUACAAAUAUCAUUUUGAAAAUGAGCAUCAUAAAAUUCAGAAAAAAUAUUGAUCCAAUGGAUAACUCAAAACACAGAGCAAUCAUUUGCACACUCAAAUAUUGAUCCAAUGGAUAACUCAAAUAUUGAUCCAGAGAAGGCACCUACAGUGACAGUCGUAUGACCGAGUUUGACCUCACUAUUAUUAUUAAUGAGUAAAGAUAAGAAGAAAGUCAUUUGCACACUCCGCAAAUAUAAGAAAACUAAUGCAGAAUAUAGUCUUGGUUUGAUAGAGCAAUCAGUCUUGGUUUGAUGUGCUUGGUCAGAAGUAGCAGAGCGGGACUGGAGGACAGCACAACAUCCAGGGCAGUGGAUAGUUCAUCUGCUCAGUCAGAAGGUGCACGUGACGUAGUUGACUGAUGGUAUUGAGGCUAGAAAUAUUGAAGGAAGUGAUUACAAUGAGAUGUUAACUGAACCAAAUCGGGAUCAGAAAAGAUAUUUUUACCCUAACCAACAUGCUAUUAUCAUGUCCUAUAUAAAAAGUUUCAAAUAGUGAAUCAUUCUCAGCUAAAAACAGUGACCCUCACAAUCUGUAUCCAUUGCAUGUAGAGAACUUCCUAAUAUAAAGAUGCAGGCAAACUCACUCACAAAUUUCUAAUUAUAAUGCUACCGAAUAUCAGGAAACAAGACUAAAACCAAAAAAUGAUUCCAUCAAUAGCCUCUUCUCCUUUCUUGUGAAUCCUGACUAUAUAUAGCUAAAGGAGAAGAAUAUUGAUAUGUUGCCAGUCGUAUAAAAUAGAGCUAAUUACUAAAGCUUCUAAAGUAAGGAUCAGAGGCCGAUGCAUGUCUUGACUAAUAUGAAAUGCGCAUAUCCAAAACAAAACUUUAGAGCCUUUAAGAAAUAAGAUAUGUGAGUAUCUGACAAACGCAAUAACAGUGAAGGCA